GAAAAGGAUAGCCCCAAAAGAAGGAUGUCAAAAUCUAGAUGUGUCUCAAGCAGAUUUCAGAAACCAGUGCAAUAAGCUGUGAUGUGGGAAUGUUGCUCAGCUGCUCCCUAACCCUGGAAGAGCAGCACGAACUCUGCUCUCUGACUAUAAAAUUCCUCAGGCAUCUGAAAACUAACUUCUGUCAGCUAUAGUCUGUUUCAUUCCUCAUGUGGUCUAAUAGCUUGUGUUUAAGCUUCAUUUGGAUCUAAAGAUGGGAACUUCCCCACCUUAACCCCUGGAGCACACGUAGCAUAGACUGAACACAAUGUGUUAGUGCCCACUGCUGCUGUUCAAAGCCCAGAAACUGCUUUCCUGAAGCCUCUGGAGCCAAAUGCCCAAAUUCUUGCUGGCUAGAGGAUACCGAAAUUAGACACUGGAGGGGUGUUGUGGUGCAAAUAUGAAUUUAAGCUGUAAACCUCUGCUCAUAGUAUUAUCUUGGAGUCUGAAACUGAUCACAGGGGAGAGAAGGAGAAGGAAACAGUAGCAAUCUGAUAUAGGACAGGCAAUGUGAGAGUAUGUGGAGAAAGUGAGGGACCAUGCCAAGAGGUCCUGGAAGUAAAAGGCAGUUGGUGAUGGGCACUGUAUUUUUCUCAGCUAACUUUGUCUCUGCUCUGGAUCUCUAGAUAUAAGACUUUCUAUCAUUAUUCUUUUCCAUAGCAUCUAAAUGAUUACUUUAAGGCAUAGGCAGCACAAGAAGAUUCCUUUGGGUGUAUGCUAUAGGAUGUUUUGUUGCCUCCAUCCUUGAUCCUUGAGUCUUACCUCUGUGUCUUCCACCCAGAGGAAAGUUCCAGAGGAAGUGCAUUCAGAUCUUCCCUUGUUAUGUUUGACCAGAGAGUGUGGAAGCUCCGGGGUUCCUCACCUGGUUGUAGCCAUACAAUGUCUGUAUUUUUUUCCUCUGUUUCAAGCUUUUAGCUCACAAUACCUGAUGUGAGAUACGGUAGCUGCUGCAUGUGAAAAGAUGGUGUGAAUUGUGGAUGCCACAAGAUGGCAGAUAGUAGGAUGCAUGCAUGUGUGGGUGUGGAUGUUCCAAGCUGAACUCUUGAACUGUUAAGCAGAAGCCUACUACUUGCUACCUGCAACCAGUAUUGGUUACUUGUAAACUUUGAUAAUACCUGGACUAAACAAAAACAACACCUCCUUAGUUCUCCAAUUUAGAGAGACAUGGGUCAAAAACGGCACUGAGGUGGCUGCUCACAUGCUUUGCUUCUGCACAGACAAUUUAGAUUGAGAAAGCUGGGGGCUUGAGAUGCUGGAAAGAGAGAUGAUGCCAGUAAGGGUGGUUUCUGGAAAAACAAACAAACAAACAAACAAACAAAAACAGAAAAAUAACCAUAAAGAAUCAGUCUAAGAAAGAAGAAGGGAACUUGAAAGGAUAGGAGAACAUUUUGGCUAGAAGAAAGAUCCUGGAAGUGAUCCUGGAGGCCAAAGGUCUCAACAAAGACCUGUGUGGAGAUAAAUGCCAAAGAACACCCAGGUGCCCUGGUCCAUAAAAAACAAGGCUGGUCACAGUGAGCAGUAACAGAGCUGGAACUCACUUGACUUGCUGCCUGACAGUUCUGGGCCAGCAGUGACAUCCCUGCAAGAACUCAUGACCUGAUCACUUGAGGGAGCAAGGGAAUGGGUACUUGAGAUAAUUCAGCAGGGUAAGAUUCUUAUCUCACUUGUUCUUAAGUAAAUCCCAGUAUGUACAGCUGGUCUGGGUUGUCAUUCACUGUGACAUUUUGACUCAUGAAUCCUUAGGUUACCACAGUCCCAGUGGCUUGGGUAGCCUUAGAGCAGUGAAACUCUACCUUCCCUUUGGGAACAGAAAUGUCUGAAGGAUUUUUGACCACAUCCAUUCUCUCUCCAUCCUGUCUCAGCAAAGCCUACAGCUAUUUCAGGCUGGGAACUCACAUGAAGUUAGCAUUUUCUACUCUAACUGGGUCUUUGAAAGGGCUUAUAAUUAUCUAACUGAAUGAUGUGACCUGAACUCUUGUAAGACAGAUGGUUUUAAAUAUAAAAAUAUCCUGCCUGUAGAUAUGUAAUAUAUUUUUGACUUAUUUCUCCUCUCCUCUGCACAGUGAAUUACAAGUAUUUAAGGUCUGCAGAUUCCUCAG
rnacentral:lncRNA from 1 species